AAGAGAUUUUUGCAGCGUACAUAGUAAAAGCCCCCUGCAAUAGACCUUUUAUUUUGCAGCGUACAUGGUAAAAGCCCCCUGCAAUAACAUAUUUGUAAUUUUUUUCGCUGCAACUUUAACUCAGACCAAACAUUUCUACCUCAAACCUCAUGACCAAUUUCGCAGCGAAUAUCCCACUCUCAUUACUCCCUUCUUCUUCUCUCGGCUUACCCUGCGUCUCACCGGUGGUUCUCACCAGUGGUCGUCGCCGCGUGGUCUCGCCCGUCGCCGGUGGUACUCUAGCAAGAGUCUAUUUAAUUUCCUCACCUCUCACCGGUGGUUCCCUGCUCGAAAAACCCCCGCAAAAGGUAUUCCCUGCUCGAAAAAACAACCGGCGAAGUGAUUCCCUGCUCGGAAAACUAAGCUUCUUUGCUCGGCCGGUUCGCGAACCCUGUUCUCCUUCAAUCCUCGCUGCGGCAAGUAACUUUCUCCCCUGUCCCUUUUUAUUUUCGUUUUCAAAAUUAGGGUUUGUUCAUUUUUCAUUUUUGCAGAGAAAGCCAAAGAAAUUGUUGGCUGACAAGAUUAGGAGAAAAUACAUACGUUUAUCUCGGAGACUUCCUCCACCCUUUUGAAGGGCGCAUAUACCAGUAAAAAACCGUACUGUUAUAAUACUCGAGACAGAUACUGGAGAACAAUACGAAGCCAAUUAUCUGCCUCAAUAUCGUGGACUCAGUGGUGGGUGGAAAAGGUUUGCCAUAGUUCUGAAAUUGGAAGGAGAUACUGUUGUUUUUCAACUAGUUGAACCUGCCAAAUUUAAGUCUACCUCUUCUAGAAUCAAAUCACUAAACUAGUUGAAGCUGAGGAUAAAAGCUGCUAAUGAAGCUGAGGCGGCUUGCCAACGGCGUCUCUCUGUUGCUGAGGCUGAAAUAGCUGAUUUAAGAUCCAAAUUGGAUACUACUGAAAGCAUGGAAGGCAAGCAUUCGUUUCUGUGCCUAGCACUUUUCCUGUGCCUGGAGAAGAACUGAUGUUUUGAUGAUUGUAAGAGGGGCAAGGAGAAGCUUGUUUGUGAUGCUGCUCAAGUACUGCUUUAUUUCGGAGUUGAACAAAUCAUCUAUGU